UACGUAGGCAGCGAGCGUUGUUCGGAGUUACUGGGCGUAAAGCGUGCGUAGGCGGUUGUCUAAGUUUGGUGUGAAAUCUCCCGGCUUAACUGGGAGGGUGCGCCGAAAACUGGGUGACUGGAGUGUCGGAGAGGUAAGCGGAAUUCCUGGUGUAGCGGUGAAAUGCGUAGAGAUCAGGAGGAACACCUGUGGUGUAGACAGCUUACUGGACGAUAACUGACGGCUGAGGCACGAAAAGCGUGGGGUAGCAAACAGGG
rnacentral:rRNA from 1 species